rnacentral:rRNA from 1 species
UGGGGAAUAUUGCACAAUGGGCGCAAGCCUGAUGCAGCCAUGCCGCGUGUAUCAAGAAGGCCUUCGGGUUUUACAGUACUUUCAGCGGGGAGGAAGGGAGUAAAGUUAAUACCUUUGCUCAUUGACGUUACCCGCAGAAGAAGCACCGGCUAACUCCGUGCCAGCAGCCGCGGUAAUACGGAGGGUGCAAGCGUUAAUCGGAAUUACUGUGCGUAAAGCGCACGCAGGCGGUUUGUUAAUUCAGAUGUGAAAUCCCCGGGCUCAACCUGGGAAAUGCAUCUGAUACUGGCAAGCGUGAGUCUCGUAGAGGGGGGUAGAAUUCCAGGUGUAGCCGUGAAAUGCGUAGAGAUCUGGAGGAAUACCGGUGGCGAAGGCGGCCCCCUGGACGAAGACUGACGCUCAGGUGCGAAAGCGUGGGGAGCAAACAGG